CCCAAGUGAAAUAACCCACUCUGAGGCUCUCUAUGGCUGCUGACCUCUCUCGUGGUGGUGUGAACAUCUCACAGCUAUUCUCAGGCAGUUACGAGCAGUUUUUUCAAACCGUUGUUUGUGGAUUUCGGAGGAAUCUGAAAUGUGCCGUGACAGGUGUUUUGCAAGUAAUCAAUGAGAGAUGCUAACAGAUCAAUCAUCCGUCACCUCCACUGUCCUCUUCCACUCAACUCCACUGUGUCCUCACAGAUGCCUGCAGUACAGGAGUGGAUCUAUUCGUGCUAGCUGGGUGCAAUUGUGCAGGAAUAUCCACUCAUGAUGAUCAUAUUCAACAGACCUUCAUAUUUAGCAUACUGUAUUCAUUUUAUCGAUUUUCUUUGACUGAUCAUGGACAAUUUCACUGCAGUCUGGAUUGGUACACAAAACACUGACGACUGAGGAAACAUUGUGAUUGACAGAGAUCCCUUAUGAUUCAGCAUCGCUGUAUUAGGAUGACAGCACACAGUCUGACAGAGCUAACAGCCAAGAGUUGACUGUACUGACUGGGGGCAUGACAGGGCUGGGAAGACAAGCAGGAA
rnacentral:lncRNA from 1 species